rnacentral:rRNA from 1 species
AGUCGCACGGGCAGCAAUGUCAGUGGCGGACGGGUGAGUAACGCGUAGGGAUGUGUCCAGAGGUGGGGGAUAACUCCGGGAAACUGGAGCUAAUACCGCAUAUGGCCUGAGGGCCAAAGCAGCGAUGCGCCUUUGGAGUAACCUGCGUCCGAUUAGCUAGUUGGUGGGGUAAAGGCCUACCAAGGCGACGAUCGGUAGCUGGUCUGAGAGGACGACCAGCCACACUGGGACUGAGACACGGCCCAGACUCUUACGGGAGGCAGCAGUGGGGAAUAUUGGACAAUGGGCGCAAGCCUGAUCCAGCAAUGCCGCGUGGGUGAAGAAGGUCUUCGGAUCGUAAAGCCCUUUCGGCGGGGACGAUGAUGACGGUACCCGCAGAAGAAGCCCCGGCUAACUUCGUGCCAGCAGCCGCGGUAAUACGAAGGGGGCUAGCGUUACUCGGAAUUACUGGGCGUAAAGGGCGCGUAGGCGGCGCUCCAAGUUAGGCGUGAAAGCCCUGGGCUCAACCUGGGGACUGCGCUUAAGACUGGAGUGCUAGAGGAUGGAAGAGGGUUGUGGAAUUCCCAGUGUAGAGGUGAAAUUCGUAGAUAUUGGGAAGAACACCGGUGGCGAAGGCGGCAACCUGGUCCAUUUCUGACGCUGAGGCGCGAUAGCGUGGGGAGCAAACAGGAUUAGAUACCCUGGUAGUCCACGCCGUAAACGAUGUGCGCUGAAUGUUGGGGUUCCUAGAACCUCAGUGUUGUAGCUAACGCGGUAAGCGCACCGCCUGGGGAGUA